GUGGGGAAUAUUGGACAAUGGGCGGAAGCCUGAUCCAGCAACGCCGCGUGAGGGAUGACGGCCUUCGGGUUGUAAACCUCUUUCAGUACCGACGAAGCGCCUUUGUGGGUGGUGACGGUAGGUACAGAAGAAGCACCGGCCAACUACGUGCCAGCAGCCGCGGUAAUACGUAGGGUGCGAGCGUUGUCCGGAAUUAUUGGGCGUAAAGGGCUCGUAGGCGGUUUGUCGCGUCGGGAGUGAAAACACUGGGCUUAACCGAGUGCUUGCUUUCGAUACGGGCAGACUAGAGGUAUGCAGGGGAGAACGGAAUUCCUGGUGUAGCGGUGAAAUGCGCAGAUAUCAGGAGGAACACCGGUGGCGAAGGCGGUUCUCUGGGCAUUACCUGACGCUGAGGAGCGAAAGUGUGGGGAGCGAACAGG
rnacentral:rRNA from 1 species